rnacentral:rRNA from 1 species
UACGUAGGUGGCAAGCGUUGUCCGGAUUUACUGGGCGUAAAGAGCGCGCAGGCGGUCGUUCAAGUCGCGUGUGAAAGCCCCCGGCUCAACUGGGGAGGGUCACGCGAUACUGAUCGACUCGAAGGCAGGAGAGGGUAGUGGAAUUCCCGGUGUAGUGGUGAAAUGCGUAGAGAUCUGGAGGAACACCGAUGGCGAAGGCAGCCUUCUGGGCCAACACUGACGCUCAUGCACGAAAGCGUGGGGAGCAAACAGG